rnacentral:rRNA from 1 species
UACGUAGGUGGCGAGCGUUGUCCGGAUUUACUGGGCGUAAAGGGAGCGUAGGCGGGCUUUUAAGUGAGAUGUGAAAUACUCGGGCUCAACUUGAGUGCUGCAUUUCAAACUGGAAGUCUAGAGUGCAGGAGAGGAGAAUGGAAUUCCUAGUGUAGCGGUGAAAUGCGUAGAGAUAUGGAGGAACACCAGUGGCGAAGGCGAUUCUCUGGACUGUAACUGACGCUGAGGCUCGAAAGCGUGGGGAGCAAACAGG